rnacentral:sRNA from 2 species
AUGUACCACUCGCUACAUUCCGGUUCCUCCGCGCCGUCCCCCACCUGACAACUGUUCGCUACGUUUUGUCAGCC